GAAAAAGGCACCGCCCUAAGGUCAUUAAAGAAGGAAAACCCAAAAAAACUCCAAAGCCAGCUACCCCAAAGGCUGCUCAACCAAAAGAAAACGCAACUGGCAAGAGGAAGUAUGUAAGAAGAAAAGGAUUGGACAAAACUCCUACUCCUGCAACACAAGUGACAGAAGAAUUCACUGAAGAAAUACCUGAAGCAGCCAAAACGCCAUGUAGAAGGACCUUAAGUUUUGGCGCAGGAACAAAAGACCAGAGUUCUGCAGGCAGAGAAAAUACAACUGCACUUCUAGGCAAAGAAAAUGGUGCAGUCGUACAAGAAACAAACUUUGGCCUUGCAUGUGAUUUAAAUACUUCAGUUAAACAUGCGUCAAGCAGUUCCAUGUCAGUACCAGAAGAUAAACAUGCGCCGGAUACAUCUUCACAGAGCACCUGCCCUGGGGAAAAGCCAAAAGAAAACCCAACUGGCAAGAAGAAAUAUGCGAGAAGGAAAGCAUUGAACAAGACUUCUGCUCCAAAAGAAGUGACGGGUGAAUUGACUACAGAAAAUAUGUCCGAAUUGGCCAAACCACCCUGUAAAAGUUCCGUAAAUCUUGACGGAGGAAUGGAAGAGAGUUCUACGGUCAAAGAUAAUGCAACUGUACAUCUGAGCAAAGAAAAUUUAGUCACGAAGGGAACAAUUCCAGACCUUGCUUACAAUGUAAAAAUUUCCAUGAAGGAGGCAUCAAACAGUUGCAUGUCAUUAACAGAAGCUACACAAGCCACAAAUACAUCUUCAAAAAGAAAGUCCCGUGAGACAAAGCCAAAAGAAAACACAAGUGCCAAAAGGCAGUAUGUGAAAAAGUCAGGAUUGAACAAGUCUUCCAUUCCUACAGAAGUAUCAGGAGACUUGCCUGGAAAAAUGAUUGCAGAAUCUGCCAAAACUUCUUGUAGACAGACCUUAAAUUUUGACAGAGGAGCAAGAGAUGAAAGUUCUGCUGACAGAAAUAAUGAUGCAACUAUGCAUCCAUGCAAAGAAACUGGUACAGUAAUGCAGGAAAUAGAUGUAGGCAUUACCUAUGAUAUCGGGACAUUCAUGAAGCGGGCAGCAGAAAAUAGUUACAUGACAUUUUGUGAUAACGUACAAACCCCAAGUCUGUCCCCUUCAAAAACCGAUCUCCCUGGGGCAAAGCCAAAAGAAAACCUGACUGGAGAGAAGAAGUAUCAGAGAAGAAAACGACUGAACAAGCCUCCUACUUGUCAAACAGAACUGACUGGAGCAAUGAUGCCAGAAUCUACAGAAAUGCAAAGAAGGUUCUCAGAUUUUGACAUGGGAACAAAAGAUGAAAAUUCUGCAAACAGAGAAAUUUUUAAUGUCCAAAUUGGCAGUAUGGUAGAGGAAACACAUAUAGGCCUUGCCUAUAAUCAAGACACUUGGAUGAUGCAGGCAUUAAAUAGUUACAUCUCAUUAUCUGAAGCCGCACAAGCCCCAUGUACAUAUCCUUCAAAAGGUAAUCCUCCUGUGAGAAAGAAGAGAUCGAAAAGGACUUCUACUCCGACAGAAAUGACAGGUGAAUUGACUGAACCAAUUAGGUCUGAAUCUACCAUACUAUCGUGUAGAAUGUCCUUAAACUUUGAUAAAGAAGGAAGAGAUGAAUGUAAUACAUGCAAUGAAAGCCUCGCCAGUGAUCAAAACAUCACGGUGAAUGAGAUCUUACAUAAUGACAUCUCGUUAUCUGAAAACACACAAACUCCAAGUUCAUGUCUUCCCAAAAGCAAUCUUCCAGGGGAAAAUCUAAAUGACAGGAACAAAAACAAAAGAAAGAGUGUUGCAACUGCUCAGGAUGGGAACGUCGGUAACAGUCAAGUUUCAACAAUAAGCCCACAAAUGGUUGGUUGCGAGAGAAAUCAUUCC
rnacentral:lncRNA from 1 species